rnacentral:tRNA from 1 species
AAGAUACUAGUAAAAUGACCAUUACACUGCUUUGUCAGGGCAGAAUUGCAAGAUAGACUCUUGCGUAUCUUG